GAAUCCGGGAAGCAUCCGAAAACAUGGGAACGAUAGAAAGAAGAUUAGCAUGGGCCCUGUGCAAGGAUGACAUGCACAACUCGAGAAGUGCAAAAUGGAAAG
rnacentral:snRNA from 1 species